CAAAUUAUGUUAAUACGACAGGAUUGUUGAUAUUGAUACAAAUAUUCCGGAUUUAAGUGAUAAAAAAGAAGAUAAUUUCGAAAAUUGUCCGGAGCACACAAAUGAAAAGAUAAAGUUUUAUUGUUCAUCUCACGAAAAUGUAGGAUGUGGUGACUGUAUGAUAUAGAACAUAAAACGUGUAAAGUGGAAUAUGUACGUGAUAUAUUAAAAGCGUUUAAAGAAAGCAAGGAAUUUAACGACGUUGUCAAACGUGUUAAUUCCUACCAGAAAGCAGUACAAAAAUGUUUCACAUCAAUCAAUGAUAAUGAACUAAAAAAUGAAGAUUUAUAUCACGGAAUUCUAGCCGACAUUAAAUUAUUUCGAGAUUAAAUGAAUCCCGUUAGACAAACUGGUAGAAGAAUUUGUUGAAAAAUCAAACGAUGCAAAAAACAACCGAUAAACUUUAUAUUGAAUCACUUGAAACAUCAUGCAAAGAUUUGGAAAAAAAGCUAUCACAAAUAAGUGAUGAUAUUGUUUCUAAAAGUAAAGAACCAUACACAUUUUUGUCACUGCAAUGCUAAAGGAAAUCGAGCAAAAGCUCUGUAGUAUCAUGUCAACUAACAUAAUUAACAGUUAUAGUUUCAAAAGAAAUUGUAAAAUUGAAGAGCUGUUAGAUCAGGUUGAACUUGGAACCGUUCAUACAAUGCACGAAGAAAACACACCUGGACCGGAUUCACAAAGUUACACUGUACGCAUAUCUUUUAACGUAUAUUUUCUCUAACUUAUGUCCUUAAUGAUAGAAAGAAACUUUAAAAAGAACUAAUAUCACAUAUUUAUUUACCACUACAAGAGUUAUUUCUAAAAUCACCCGAUAAACAGUUCACUGAUUUGAUUAAUAACUAUCUAAUAAAUGUGCUUAUUUUUCUAUAUGUAAUGAAUUUUCAUAUUUGUUUUUAUUUUUGGACUAUGAAGAACCUAUUUAGUUACAGGCAAAACUGGAAACCAGCCGAACAAUAUACGGAGAAAGCGCCUCGGCUUCACAAUGCUAUGAUAAACCUACUUCUAUUCAAGCAAAGCCAGACACCAGUCAGACAAUAUAAGGAGAGAACACUUCAAAACUGGAUUCACAAAGUAAAAGUGGUAUUUCUUUCUUUUAACACAAGCUAAUGUCUUCUUUACCAGUAAGAAAACGAAGAAUUAGUCUGCAAAGCAUCCUCAGUGUAGCUAUUAUUGUCUGAAUAAUAUCUAAAGUAAUAGCUAAGAUACAUAUCUAAAUGCUUGCAUAUGGACUCUGCAUAUAUAUAUUUCAUAUUUAAGGCUAUGAAACACAUUUUACUAUACAAGCAAAACAAGCAACAAGCCAGAAAAUUUACGAAGACGCUACAUCAGUUUCAGAUUCACAAGGAUUUUUGAUUGUCCUGAAAUUUAUACUGUACAAAGUUCAGGAUAUAUGCGAUUGAGUUCCGGUUUUACUUUUUCGCCAUAUUGUUAGUGUUUUUUUGCAGUCAGAUACAUGGCCCCCGGUGUCACCACUUUUUCGUGCAACGGAGAGUUCCUAGUCUUUUCGGUAUUUUACCUUCCCUGCGCUCUGAAUGCCAUAUAAAUGAAAAAUUCAAAAUAAUUUGCACAUUGCAUCAAAAAAUGCUACUUAAUGGUAUAAAAUUCAGUAAAAUAAAAUUGACGCUUAAGACGUCAGUGACGAUUUUGUGACGUCAGAACGGAAAAACUCACAUCAAGUUUUGCUAAAAAUUUUGACUUAAAAUUCAGUGUUUUAAAAAUCGGCUCGAUAAAAAACGUAUAACUUUGGUAUGUUGUUUGGCAAUGUGUGUACAUCUAGUAGACACAUAAAUACUUAGGGGUCACCGACUUCAAUAUUUCGCAAUAUAACAUAAUUUUACCCUCACCCCCACAUGGUUUGUGGCUAUAUAACGUUAGAGAAAAAAGAAUGUGUUUCAGCUUACACAACUCACGUUCACGUUAGAAACGAAAUGUAUUUAUUAUAAGAAAGUUUCACGAUAUAUUCGUCCUUAUCUUAACGUCAGAUGAGAUGUACUAAUGAAAGAAAACACCUUUGACAAAAUACAUAUCUUGUACAAUUGUCCGUAAGUAUUUGACCUGUCACUCAUUUAUCUUCGCUAAUAUUUUCGGACGUUUUCGUUAUUUUACGCAAUAUUGUCCUGAAAAGAUCAAAUAACCUUUAUAGUUAACCGUCUGACAUCCACGCACGUUACCUAUGGUACGAAAUUACCACAGACCAUUUUCUAAAUUCAAUAUAAUGUAGUGUUACCGUAUUUUCUUUUAGUCUUACAAUGUCUUUUGCAACAAUUUUUACGACACUCACUUCAAAAUAUCUUGAAUACAAGUAUAUUUCUUUCAAUAAUUGAACCACAAAAAUAUAUAGGUAAGUGUAUUAAUUUUCUAUCCUGUAAAAUUUGGAGAUAGAUCUAAAAUUUGCAAAAAAAAAGAUGUUAGACUGAGGACUACAACCCGCAACUCCGAGAUUGAUGGCUAACCGUUUUGUCCCCGCAACUACUUGCACAUGCGAUAUUUUUUAAAUCAUAAAGAAUACUUACGCAGUAGUUAUUUCUCUAUUGAGGGCAGGGACAAUCUUAUCAAGAUACUUACGAGAAUAUUUCUCGUAUCUUUCUCGUAUGUCUCUCGCAACGUUCUCAUAAGUCUGACAGGUGUCUUAUGAAAAUUAUCGUAGCUACGAUAUCGUAAGUUUCUACAUAAAAUCCUUGUAAAGUUACGAGAGGGUCAGGGGUCUCGUAAAUAUUUACGAUAUCGUAAAUAAAAUGGCGGCAUCCGUGUGAGCAACCACGACGAAACUUUUUCUGUCGAAAAUGCUGCAGAUUGCUCAGCAGUAAAACUUGAUUUUCCGUGUACAUGUUGCACAACAGUGGAUGAACUACGUCAUCGAUCAUACAAAAGCACGCGCUUUGGGUCAGUGCGACACGAAGCGGAAGCGAGUGUAAAGGAAAUAUUGAACACAUAAAUUCUGUUUAUCUUCGCUGUUUCAUGUGUUGACAGAUCAAUUGGAGGGACAUGCUGGUAAUAAUUAUUGUAGAAAUAUUCGGUUAUUUAGGUAUAAUUUUAUUAGUGUCGAUAUUGCAGACAUUCAUCAUCAACGGUUAUUUGGGAUCGACUCGUACCCUAUUUACUUCGUAUCAGUGCUUUUUAUCAUCUAUAGAUAUAAUAAAAGAAACUGAAUGUGCAUGAGACUUGAUUUUUAUAUAAAAAUAAAUUAAAUAGGCAUUAAUGAUCUAUAUCCGAUACAGACAAAUGCCUGCAAUCGAAGGGUAUGUUUGACAGUAUUGCAACUGUAACAGUGAAACAGUCUUAGGAAAAAUGUGCAGCCUCGACCGGGUUUCAAACCUCGGACCUUCGGCUUACCAUGCCAAAGCUAUACCAGUUGAGCUACCGAGGCCACUCGAUACGAGAACAGCUACACACCUUCCCUCUUAUUGCGAGACAUUAGCACUCCUGGCCAAUGUCUGCCGCAGACUGUUAAACGAAUUCAGAUUUACACCCCAGCCAAACUGCUUUGCCCUGCAUGGGCUCCAAGGGUGAGCAUCCUGGACGAGCCCCCAAAUGUAACAGUCUCAGGAAAACUGUGCAGCCUCGAAGGAGAUUCGAACCACGGACCUUCGGCUUACCGUGCCAACGCUCUACUAAUUGAGCUACCGAGGCCACCCGAUACGAGAACCGCUACACAACUAAUAUGACCUGUCUGUAUUGAACAUAUGUUUACUGGAUAAUAAAGUCAAGGAAUUCUCUUGCCCUCCAAUAAAUUAACUGAACGCCGCCUAGCCUGCAUGAUAGUCAUCAGGUAACCCAAUGUCUAGUCGAGAGUCCUCUAGGAGUUUUGUAUCUGGCUUGAAAUCUUGAUUUGACAUAUUUGUGAUAUUACAUAUGUCAUGCAAUGUAAGUUACAAAUGAAACAUUCUUAUCACACAAGCUUUGUAUCACAGUUUAUUAUAAGGUCUUUAAAACUUUUUAGGUUGCAGAAUGCCAGAAGAAAUUACAGACAACAAUACUGCUCAGUGCAGUAACCAGACCUGAAAAAAAAACACUGCUCAAGGCAAACUUUUGGGACAGAGUGCUGCAUACAUGGGCUUAUGCACAAACUGAGAUUUUGCAAGUCAACUGUCAAAGUCAUAAAGAGAGAUAGUGGACAAUGUUGAACAGAGUUGAAGUCCUGGAAUCUCGGUCAACUGCAGAUAGCAGCAUGGCGUAAAAUAGACGUCUUGUUUUCCAGUCCAAUUUUAGUCAGGGAUUCUUGGUGGUAUGAAACUGCAGUCAACACAGGCUUUUAGAGGUCUGCAAGUACAGAGUUUUAAAUUGUGAAACAAAACCUCUAACCAGAUCACAGAGUGUGUGUGUGUUAUGCUGUGCUGAGAUAUUGCUGUGACAUAUGGUGGAUUUAGGUCCACAACCUGGUAAUAUGAGUUGACAACUGUACAAGACAUCCUAUUGAAGACAGUUCUGAGUGAGCAACAGCCCAAGACACAUUGUUAUUGCUGCCCUGUUAUCUACUGAGUUUCUACAUACAAGUCAAGUAUCCAUCAAAGAUUGGCCAUGGUGUUUACAGAACUGAAAGCCAAGCUGUGAUUUUUGGAAAUUUAUUAUAAAGUUCUAAAUGGAAAUACAAUUUGAAAAGCA